GACGAACGCUGGCGGCGUGCCUAAUACAUGCAAGUAGAACGCACAGUUUAUACCGUAGCUUGCUACACCAUAGACUGUGAGUUGCGAACGGGUGAGUAACGCGUAGGUAACCUGCCUGGUAGCGGGGGAUAACUAUUGGAAACGAUAGCUAAUACCGCAUAAUAUUGAUUAUUGCAUGAUAAUUGAUUGAAAGAUGCUAUUGCAUCACUACCAGAUGGACCUACGUUGUAUUAGCUAGUAGGUGAGGUAACGGCUCACCUAGGCGACGAUACAUAGCCGACCUGAGAGGGUGAUCGGCCACACUGGGACUGAGACACGGCCCAGACUCCUACGGGAGGCAGCAGUAGGGAAUCUUCGGCAAUGGACGAAAGUCUGACCGAGCAACGCCGCGUGAGUGAAGAAGGUUUUCGGAUCGUAAAGCUCUGUUGUAAGAGAAGAACGGGUGUGAGAGUGGAAAGUUCACACUGUGACGGUAUCUUACCAGAAAGGGACGGCUAACUACGUGC
rnacentral:rRNA from 1 species